AUCGCUUCUCGGCCUUUUGGCUAAGAUCAAGUGUAGUAUCUGUUCUUAUCAGUUUAAAAUUUCCAGUUAUAAAAUAAAUAAGUGUCGAGAAUGUAAUGUACAACCUGAUGAUUAUAGUUAGCAAAACUGUAUCAUAUAUUGAAAGUUGAUGAGAGAAUAGACCUUAA
rnacentral:snRNA from 1 species